CGAGGGGCAGAUGACUCAGCUUGCUGAGUUGAUGGCGACCGGCGCACGGGUGAGUAACGCGUAUCCACCUGCCCUUUACUCCGGGAUAGUCUCCUGAAAGGGAGUUUAAUACCGGAUGUGUCCGCAUGGGUAAAGAUUAUUGGUAAAGGAUGGGGAUGCGUCCCAUUAGCUUGUUGGCGGGGUAACGGCCCACCAAGGCAACGAUGGGUAGGGGUUCUGAGAGGAAGGUCCCCCACAUUGGAACUGAGACACGGUCCAAACUCCACGGGAGGCAGCAGUGAGGAAUAUUGGUCAAUGGGCGAGAGCCUGAACCAGCCAAGUAGCGUGAAGGACGACGGCCUACGGGUUGUAAACUUCUUUUAUAAGGGAAUAAGUUCGCCACGUGUGGUGUUUUGUAUGUACCUUAUGAAUAAGCAUCGGCUAAUUCCGUGCCAGCAGCCGCGGUAAUACGGAAGAUGCGAGCGUUAUCCGGAUUUAUUGGGUUUAAAGGGAGCGUAGGCGGGCUUUUAAGUCAGCGGUCAAAUGCCACGGCUCAACCGUGGCCAGCCGUUGAAACUGUAAGCCUUGAGUCUGCACAGGGCACAUGGAAUUCG
rnacentral:rRNA from 1 species